rnacentral:lncRNA from 1 species
GGGUGCUGGCGCGCGGUGGGCAUGGGUGCCGGCCCCGCAGGCCGCUGCACGCCAAGGCGGAGCAGCACCUCAUGUGCGAGGAGCACGAGGACGAGCGGAUCAACAUCUACUGCCUGCGCUGCGAGGUGCCCACCUGCUCCCUCUGCAAGGUCUUCGGGGCGCACAAGGACUGCGAGGUGGCACCCCUGCCCGCCGUCUACCAGCGCCAGAAGAGCGAGCUCAGCGACGGCAUCGCCAUGCUGGUGGCGGGGAACGACCGCGUCCAGGCCAUCAUCACCCAGAUGGAGGAGAUCUGCAGGACCAUCGAGGAGAACGGCCGGCGGCAGAAGCAGCAGCUGGGGCUGCGCUUCGACGCGCUGUACGGCAUCCUGGAGGAGCGCAAGAAGGAGCUGCUGCAGAGCAUCGCGCGGGAGCAGGAGGCCAAGGAGCAGCGCGUGCGCGGCCUCCUCCGCCAGUACGGCGACCACCUGGAAGCC